rnacentral:rRNA from 1 species
UACGUAGGGGGCAAGCGUUGUCCGGAUUUAUUGGGCGUAAAGCGCACGUAGGCGGACAUUUAAGUCAGGGGUGAAAUCCCAGAGCUCAACUCUGGAACUGCCUUUGAUACUGGGUGUCUUGAGUAUGGAAGAGGUGAGUGGAAUUCCGAGUGUAGAGGUGAAAUUCGUAGAUAUUCGGAGGAACACCAGUGGCGAAGGCGGCUCACUGGUCCAUUACUGACGCUGAGGUGCGAAAGCGUGGGGAGCAAACAGG